rnacentral:rRNA from 1 species
AUGAACGCUGGCGGCGUGCCUAAUACAUGCAAGUCGAGCGAACGGACGAGAAGCUUGCUUUUCUGAUGUUAGCGGCGGACGGGUGAGUAACACGUGGAUAACCUACCUAUAAGACUGGGAUAACUUCGGGAAGCCGGAGCUAAUACCGGAUAAUAUUUUGAACCGCAUGGUUCAUAAGUGAAAGACGGUCUUGCUGUCACUUAUAGAUGGAUCCGCGCUGCAUUAGCUAGUUGGUAAGGUAACGGCUUACCAAGGCAACGAUGCAUAGCCGACCUGAGAGGGUGAUCGGCCACACUGGAACUGAGACACGGUCCAGACUCCUAAGGGAGGCAGCAGUAGGGAAUCUUACGCAAUGGGCGAAAGCCUGACGGAGCAACGCCGCGUGAGUGAUGAAGGUCUUCGGAUCGUAAAACUCUGUUAUUAGGGAAGAACAUAUGUGUAAGUAACUGUGCACAUCUUGACGGUACCUAAUCAGAAAGCCACGGCUAACUACGUG